UACGGGGGGGGGCAAGCGUUGUUCGGAAUUACUGGGCGUAAAGGGCUCGUAGGUGGCCAACUAAGUCAGACGUGAAAUCCCUCGGCUUAACCGGGGAACUGCGUCUGAUACUGGAUGGCUUGAGAUUGGGAGAGGGAAGCGGAAUUCCGGGUGUAGCGGUGAAAUGCGUAGAUAUCCGGAGGAACACCAGUGGCGAAGGCGGUGCUCUGGGCCGGAACUGACGCUGAGGAGCGAAAGCGUGGGGAGCAAACAGG
rnacentral:rRNA from 1 species